AACGGUCUAUACCUGCGGUACCUGCGGAGGGAUCAUUACUGAAUUGAUUUUGGGGAUGUUGCUGGUCUCUUGAGGCAAUGGUGCACUCCCUCAAACAUUUCACAAUUUCCAUCUUACCCAUGUGCACAUCCUGUAGGUGGUCUCCCAACCCACCCUCCAAGGAAAGGGGGGGAGUGUGUGGGUCUGGUCUCCUAUGUAUUUCCUUGCCAACAUCACACGUUUUUACUGAAUGAAUCCUGU
rnacentral:misc_RNA from 1 species